GACGAACGCUGGCGGCAUGCCUAAUACAUGCAAGUCGAGCGGAAUGAUGAGAGCUUGCUCUCUGAUUUUAGCGGCGGACGGGUGAGUAACACGUGGGCAACCUGCCCUACAGAUGGGGAUAACUCCGGGAAACCGGGGCUAAUACCCGGAUAAUUCACAUCUACACAUGUAGAUGUGCUGAAAGACGGUUUACGCUGUCACUUAUAGAUGGGCCCGCGGCGCAUUAGCUAGUUGGUGAGGUAAUGGCUCACCAAGGCCACGAUGCGUAGCCGACCUGAGAGGGUGAUCGGCCACACUGGGACUGAGACACGGCCCAGACUCCUACGGGUGGCAG
rnacentral:rRNA from 1 species